rnacentral:rRNA from 1 species
ACGGAAGGCGGCAGUGGGGAUUAUUGCACAAUGGGCGCAAGCCUGAUGCAGCGAUGCCGCGUGAGGGAAGAAGGUUUUCGGAUUGUAAACCUCUGUCAUCGGGGACGAUAAUGGCUGUACCCGAGAAGGAAGCUCCGGCAAACUACGUGCCAGCAGCCGCGGUAAUACGUAGGGAGCAAGCGUUAUCCGGAUUUACUGGGUGUAAAGGGCGUGUAGGCGGGACAUCAAAUCAGAUGUGAAAGCACGAGGCUCAACUUCGUGUCUGCAUUUGAAACUGACGUUCUUGAGUGUUGGAGAGGCUAACGGAACUCCUAGUGUAGCGGUGAAAUGCGUAGAUAUUAGGAAGAACACCAGUGGCGAAGGCGGUUAGCUGGACAAUAACUGACGCUGAGGCGCUAAAGCGUAGGUAUCAAACAGGAUUAGAUACCCUGGUA